rnacentral:lncRNA from 1 species
CAAAACUCAUCAUAAAAAUCUAAAGACUUAGCAACACUAGCCAAAAAAUGGGGGUGAUGGUAUGUGCUCAGGAAAGGGUAAACAGACCCUGAUUCACAUAAUUCACCCAUUGUGUAUAUUUCAUGAUCAGUAUGUCACAUUCAGAAAAUUAUAAGUCAGAACAAAAGUUAUUGGUCCAGCAACUCUAAAACAAGUGUACAUGAAGGAACAGAAGAAAAAUCAUCAACAUUUCAUGCAUUUAUCAAUCAGAUCAUAAUACAGAGCCUUUGUCUAUGCUACUUUCUACUUUCUGUUUUAACAACCAGUGGGGUCCUACAGUUUUGUCAUGAUGAUACACACC